AUCUUGACUGUUUAACUUUGGAAGACCUCAGCCUAAAGCUUGAGCUCUUUGCCAGUUCAUUAUUCAUCCCAUGACCUUUCUUGACUGGAGACUUGAUUCUAGCAAACCGUUCUUAUUACCUGUUCUGAUGUAGAUCACCAGCAAAUGAUCAAAGUGCCUUGUGACUUCCACCAGCAGCAGAUCAUAAGAGGAAAAGAACAAAUACAAACACUCAGACUCUGCUUCUGGCCAGGUGGGCAGCAGAUACGUGAGGAAAAUGGACACAGAUCCUUUCCAGAGAGAAAAGUCUGACCUGUUGAUGCCUGGGUCUCAUACCAUCUGAUCAAAGGGGUUUAUGGUCUUCUAAGCAUUUUGUGGUGAAAUAUGGAGCCGAUCAAUACAACCGCCCUGUCAAACGCUUCCAACAUAGACCCGGGCCGCUGCGACAGGCCCUGCAGGAUGAUUCUCAUAACACUCUACGGCGCGGUUCUGCUGGGCGGUGCUGCAGGAGCUAUUACGAUGUCUUGUAUGACGCCAAGAAGGAACAGCCGAUCAGUGAUUGCCACCAUCGUUCUCAACAUCAUAGUGCUACACUCCAUCCUCCUGGUCAGCCUUCCCUUUCGCCUCAGCUAUACGCGGGCCUCUCACUGUUGUGGCCUCUCCC